rnacentral:lncRNA from 1 species
AUGGCUUCUGUUUUCCACAUACAUAAAAUUUCCACGUGCAGUGUUGAUAACUUUGAGGAUUGUAUAGAUAAUGAAAACUGCGCUAGUUGCCACAGGUCUACCUUUAGUCAAGAUGAAAAAGAAAUCACCACUAAAGAAUAUAGAUGGGAACAGAGACAAACUUUAGUCCUAGUAGACUUGACUUUAUGUAACCCACAGUUUUUCUUUACUUUAUUUGCAGCUGAAGUUGAUCCUGGAAAGAGAAUCUUUAGGGAGAGAACAUUGUUUUCUUUCUCAGAACAUCGUGUCGGGCAGUGUCUCCAACUGCUGACAUUUUGGAAACCAAAGCCAAAAGCAAUACAUCAAAUCAGCAGCUCCAGGCAGAGGACUGUUUCAAACCAAAAUGAUGUUUUAAUCUUGAAUCAAGCAAUGACUGCACAGCCUGCAAGAGGCCUGUUUUGGACAUCAGUUGUUAAUCUACCCAAAGCAUUUGAAGAAGUUGAUUCCUCUGUGUUGGCAUUUAUUGAAGUUGAUUUUCUAUGCUGCACCCCAGUUCCUCCACGCUACUUCCUAUGA